GCGGAAGUAGCUCAUUUGGUAGAGCGGAAGCCUUCCAAGCUUCAGGUGGCGGGUUCGAGCCCCGUCUUCCGCU
rnacentral:tRNA from 3 species